rnacentral:lncRNA from 1 species
AUUGAUUUUAUAUUUUUUGUCCAAUCUGUCAAUGUCUUUCCUUUAAUUGGAAUGCUUAUAUCAUUAUAUCAUUUAUAUCCUGAACAAUACUAUACAUAGAAGAACAGUUUUUCUUUUCUAACUUACUCAGGCAAGUUGACAAUCAUAGAAGAACUAUUCAAUGUAAAUUGAUAUUUAAGUCAUGUGUGACAGAUCCAGAUUAUACCUGCUUUGAAAUCCACAUCUCAGCCAAUAGGUGAUGGCCUAUUUCUCAUUGGACAUACAUACGGUACUGGUAUCCUAAAGGUAUAAGACUUGCUGUCUUACUGGGAUAAGACAGCAAAGAUGUAAUGACAGAGAGUUCUCAUAGAAUAUAAAGUUUGAAGGCUGUGUCAUUUGUAUCCAUGUAUCCACGGAGAAUAGCACAGGAUCAAGUUGGGAGCAUCUGGAGUUCUAAAAAUAUAUUUGAUUGAAAGAUGAAUAGAUGGGCAAACAGCUUACAGCUCUACUGCACUGUGAAACUGUCUUGAGUGCCUUUGUGUUAUUCAUCUGUACAGGGACUUUGGACUUUCUAUAAUUCCAUUUAUAUUAUUUUGUAAAUAUGAAAAAAAAAAGUUGGAAGGGAGGCUAAACUUGUUG